rnacentral:misc_RNA from 1 species
UUUUGAUUACUUGAGAUCGAUUUAUGCUUUGUGUUUCUCACUAAUGGGUCUAGUUAUACUAUACAAGUACAUAAACAUAGUAGUGUAGUAUUGUGUAAUAUGUAUACAUCAUUUUUCCUUUCUGUUAUGCAUACUUGGUUUACAAGCGUGCAUUUGAUUCUAUAAUAUUUUAGCAUGGGUGGUUGUCUUCAUUCUCCACUGUUUUUUAUGUCUUGGUUGAUUUCUGUAUUAAAAUGUUUCUCAUAUCGGAUCCCCAUUCUAUUGGUGUUUGUCACAGAUGAAAUUGAAAAUCUUCAUUCAGGUUUGUUUUCCAUUUUUCCUUGUUACCGCUGUGCUUUUUAACAAAUGGGCACGCUUAGUAUACAAAUUUUGAUUUAUUUUCACAGAUGGAUCUGGUAGAGCCGUAGAGGACCACCCAUAUUUGUUAAAGGGAUCAAGGGAGGCUUUUGAAUCAAUACUAACUGAGAACGGAGGUCUGUUUCUGAGGGUAGACAUGCCUGGGGUUGCGGAAGAAGAUGCUAGGGUUUGUGUGGUUGGUGGAAAUGUCAUAUUCUUUGGCAAAGCCCUGAAAGUUAUGGAGCAUGAUUCGAGUGGACGUGAGUACCUUGGCAGCGUCUCCUUGUUGCCCAUGACCCCGAUUGAAGGCAAUAUUGAGCAUGCCAUGAAGGAUGGUGUUUUCAGAUUGUCCAUUUCACCUGUCUAAUGUUGGAUAUUCAUGAUCUUACUCUUGUUAUAGUCUAAUUGGCAAUAAAUUUUUCAAA